rnacentral:rRNA from 1 species
UAGGGAAUCUUCCACAAUGGGCGCAAGCCUGAUGGAGCAACACCGCGUGAGUGAAGAAGGGUUUCGGCUCGUAAAGCCCUGUUGUUAAAGAAGAACACGUAUGAGAGUAACUGUUCAUACGUUGACGGUAUUUAACCAGAAAGUCACGGCUAACUACGUGCCGG